rnacentral:lncRNA from 1 species
CCAAUUAUUUUUAAAGAAAGUUGUUACAUUUUCUAUGAGAUGUGUCAACUAAGCGUCACCAAUUUGUUAAACAUAUAUAUUAAUCAUAAUUGAUGCAAGAUGUUGGGAAAAAUUAAUCUUUGAAGUAUGCACAAUCAAUAUAAAAUAAAAGCAUAAAAGAAAAUAACACAAGAGUUUACGUGUUUUGAUAGUGUGCCUAGAUCCACGGGCAAGACCAGUAAGAAAAAU